GCGGUCUCCUCCUAAAGAGUAACGGAGGAGUACGAAGGUGCGCUCAGACCGGUCGGAAAUCGGUCGUAGAGUAUAAAGGCAAAAGCGCGCUUGACUGCGAGACAGACACGUCGAGCAGGUACGAAAGUAGGUCUUAGUGAUCCGGUGGUUCUGUAUGGAAGGGAAGUGAACGACAG
rnacentral:rRNA from 1 species